GGAGAGGUGCCAGAGCGGUCGAAUGGGGCGGUCUCGAAAACCGUUGAGCUAGCAAUAGUUCCGAGGGUUCGAAUCCCUCCCUCUCCGCCA
rnacentral:tRNA from 1 species